CCUCCUCGUCUAAGCCCGCUUGUGGCGCGUAAGCGCUGAUGACGUUGAGGACGCAACCCCAAUAACCAACUUAAUUGACAUUAACCUAUCAUUCACUCGCAUAACCUCGACCACAGACUCCCUUAGAUCUCUAUCUACCAAGAUGCCCACUCCAUUCUUACCUCUCACGACCCAGAAUACCACAGCUUAAACCCGUCUAUAUUGCUGUUAGAUCUCUAUCUAACAGCAAGCACAAUAAUAUAUCAAAAAUACUUGGUCAAAUAUUUCUAGCUUCCUGGAGAAAUAACUACAAAGUUUAAUCAGAUCAAACACAAUAGAGGAUAGGGGGGACAUGUAAACAGUUCCAUGUCAUUGCCAACUAAUCACUUAUCAUCAACGAAAUUAUACUCCAUUAAUGGAACAUCAAAUGUUCAUACGUUAUUUUCAUGGCUUCCGACCCUCAUUAACCAAUGUUCAUGUACCAAUUAAUAACUUUUCACAGAAAGCUACUUCAACCUCUAGCUAGUCUUUAAAUCUUUUCUAUCCAAGUAAACUUAUCGUUGUGUAGAUUUGUCAAUCUUUCCAACCAUGAAUAGGACCCACAAGCUUAUUGCAGGCUAAUGUACAAGAACAACAGAAUGAUCAACUUUUUGGUAGUGCACAAAUCCUUUGGUAAAAUUGCAUGUUCACGUAAACUUAUAAGUAUUUCAUAAAUUGAUUUGCUCCACAGCUAAGUGAACAAAUGUAGAUAUGAUGUUUUAGCAUAUAAUUUGAAGUUGUGAGUUAAGAUUUCUUGAAACAGCAUAUUAAGAAAAAGUUUAGGCGAAUCGUAGUUUCUGUCGGGCAAUUUCCCAAACACUUCUAAUGUAACCCCAAAGACAUUUUUUAUAAUAACAGACCAAAAUCUGUUUUUACUGCAGUUCGACCUAGGUCAAACAGAUGAAAAUUAAGAGUAACUCCGGGAAAGAGGAAGUUGAACACGAAGAACGGUGAGCAGCAACAACACAUACCAAUUAGCUCACAAUUUGACACAAAAGUAGUCUAAAUCUUCUAUCCAAGUUCAAUUCAAAACAUGCGAAACAAAGAUUGUUCAAAUUAAAUACCUACUGAAUCUUAAAUCUAAAUAGUGGCGGUAAUCAUACCUUUACUGCAUAUCAUACAGCAAACUGAAAGACGAAGCAAAGAAGAGGAGGAACUUGAGAAAUCGUCAAAGGAAAGGAGAAACUUGAGAUCAAACAAAAUAGAGAAAGCCGAGACAAUAGUGUGCCCAAAGCGGAGCUAGGUGUCGUAGCUGGAAGAAAGCGGGAGGUUAUAUUUUUCAAUCGCCGAACAUCUCUUUCAAUCGGUGGAUAUUUUUUCAGUCAGAUUCCUUUUUCUUCCCACUUCAGUGUAUUAUUUGGGUUCUAUAUUGGGGAACCUACUUUGGUUUAAAAUUUGAUAGAGUUUCUUGUUAUUGUUUAAUUUUUUUAUUUUUAAUUUGUGAGAUUGAAGUGAGCUCUAUUAUAUUAAUUUCCAUUGUGUCAAGUGAGGAGUAAGUGAAGAAAGGAGAAGAAGUAAAGGAAAAGAAAAA
rnacentral:lncRNA from 1 species